CCUUGCCAACCUGGACUCAUAAUUUUUUACUAAUGGACAAAUUACAUUUUGUACUCUUUCACUCUAAUGCAAAAAGAAACAGACACAGAGAGAGAGAUAGAAAUAGUGACAUAAAUGGCCCAGAUAAUGCUAGAAAACCCCAUUUUAUGAGAAACCUUCACAAAAUCAACAGUUUCCAGAUGGUGUUUCAUAGAGAUCUAAGGAGCCAGGUAACAUCCUCUGAAGCAAGGGAAUUAGGAGAUAAAGAGAGGCUGGAGGAGCACAGUGGACGUUCGACCUCAGACUUUGACUUGCCUCAACCUACUUUACAAUUUAGGCCUCAACUAAAGACAAAAUGUGAAGAUGCUUUGGAGAUCGGAAUGAACUGGAAAAGGAAUCAGAAAGAAGAGUUGAGUAAAAUUCUUGGGAAGAUAGAAACUACAUAAUUGAAGAAUAGCUGAAUCCAGAGGGAAUAGCAUCAUUCUCAUGGUUAAGGAUCACAUAAAACUUGCAUGGAAUGAUUAAGUCACCUAAUGACAAGUUUCAGAUUAUUUUCCAGGAAAUAGUGCUCUAGCACCUGAAAAUUCAUACUA